rnacentral:rRNA from 1 species
AAUAGAUACCCCGGUAGUCCACGCCGUAAACGAUGGAUACUAGCUGUUUGAGCGCAAGUUUGAGUGGCUAAGCGAAAGUGAUAAGUAUCCCACCUGGGGAGUACGGGCGCAAGCCUGAAACUCAAAGGAAUUGACGGGGGCCUGCACAAGCGGUGGAGCAUGUGGUUUAAUUCGAUGAUACGCGAGGAACCUUACCAGGGCUUAAAUGUAGAUUGACGUAUUUGGAAACAGAUAUUUCUUCGGACAAUUUACAAGGUGCUGCAUGGUUGUCGUCAGCUCGUGCCGUGAGGUGUCAGGUUAAGUCCUAUAACGAGCGCAACCCCUGUUGUUAGUUGCCAGCGAGUAAUGUCGGGAACUCUAGCAAGACUGCCAGUGUAAACUGUGAGGAAGGUGGGGAUGACGUCAAAUCAUCACGGCCCUUACGUCCUGGGCCACACACGUGCUACAAUGGCCGGUACAGAGAGCAGCCACUUAGCGAUAAGGAGCGAAUCUAUAAAGCCGGUCACAGUUCGGAUCGGAGUCUG